CGCGCCGCCAUUUUGCCAAGCGGCACCGCGUGACCCCGAGGCUCAGCUGCGAUUGGCCGAAGCGCUGGUUGCCCGGGAGAUAGAGAAGCUUCCCGGUGAAGAUGCGGAGCAUUGAAGAGAGUCCAAGUGCUCUUUCCACAGGCAGUGCAAACUUCGCUGCUCCAAGCAAGACCAGAAUCUGCCGACCAGAAGGAAAGAGGUCCCUUUGCCCAGCCUGGGACAUUACUGAUGGCCCAUGAUCUACUGAAGAGGAAAGGAAGAAACAAAGAGCCGACAUGAGAGUUAGGAGAAAAAAACCACGUAUGAGUGCUGAAAGCCAUGCUACUGCCAUUUUAAAAACCCGUGGUGUUGUGACCCCUGCAGCCCGGCAGUGAUGGGCAAUGCUGGAUAAUGCAGCGGUGCCAUGCUUUCCCUUUUCUGUCUCCUUUGAGUCUAGAACUAAGGACAAACUGAAUGUGGACAAAGAUUUCUCAUGUGAAGACAGCACCAAUAAUUUACCCACUGCAUGGUGUUGUUAAAAUUCAAAUGUGAUAACCCUUAAAACUAAUGCCUCAUUGUUUAAAAAAAUAAAUAAGUAACACUGUAUAUAUUUUA